rnacentral:rRNA from 1 species
CCUACGCUUGACAUGGUCGGAAUCCUGCUGAGAGGUGGGAGUGCUUGAAAGAGAACCGGCGCACAGGUGCUGCAUGGCUGUCGUCAGCUCGUGUCGUGAGAUGAUGGGUUAAGUCCCGCAACGAGCGCAACCCUUGUCCUUAGUUGCUACGCAAGAGCACUCUAAGGAGACUGCCGGUGACAAACCGGAGGAAGGUGGGGAUGACGUCAAGUCCUCAUGGCCCUUAUGGGUAGGGCUUCACACGUCAUACAAUGGUCGGAACAGAGGGUUGCCAACCCGCGAGGGGGAGCUAAUCCCAGAAAACCGAUCGUAGUCCGGAUUGCACUCUGCAACUCGAGUGCAUGAAGCUGGAAUCGCUAGUAAUCGCGGAUCAGCAUGCCGCGGUGAAUACGUUCCCGGGUCUUGUACACACCGCCCGUCACACCAUGGGAGUGGGUUUUACCAGAAGU